UACGAAGGGGGCUAGCGUUGUUCGGAAUCACUGGGCGUAAAGGGCGCGUAGGCGGCUUUGUAAGUCGGGGGUGAAAGCCUGUGGCUCAACCACAGAAUUGCCUUCGAUACUGCAUGGCUUGAGACCGGAAGAGGUAAGUGGAACUGCGAGUGUAGAGGUGAAAUUCGUAGAUAUUCGCAAGAACACCAGUGGCGAAGGCGGCUCACUGGUCCAUUACUGACGCUGAGGUGCGAAAGCGUGGGGAGCAAACAGG
rnacentral:rRNA from 1 species